UGAUUGAUGGUGCUUGCACCUGAUUGAUUUUGGUCGCCRACSAGUGGCGGACGGGUGAGUAACACGUAGGUAACCUGCCCAGAAGCGGGGGACAACAUUUGGAAACAGAUGCUAAUACCGCAUAACARCGUUGUUCGCAUGAACAACGCUAAAAAGAUGGCUUCUCGCUAUCACUUCUGGAUGGACCUGCGGUGCAUUAGCUUGUUGGUGGGGUAAYGGCCUACCAAGGCGAUGAUGCAUAGCCGAGUUGAGAGACUGAUCGGCCACAAUGGGACUGAGACACGGCCCAUACUCCUACGGGAGGCAGCAGUAGGGAAUCUUCCACAAUGGGCGCAAGCCUGAUGGAGCAACACCGCGUGAGUGAAGAAGGGUUUCGGCUCGUAAAGCUCUGUUGUUAAAGAAGAACACGUAUGAGAGUAACUGUUCAUACGUUGACGGUAUUUAACCAGAAAGUCACGGCUAACUACGUGCCAGCAGCCGCGGUAAUACGUAGGUGGCAAGCGUUAUCCGGAUUUAUUGGGCGUAAAGAGAGUGCAGGCGGUUUUCUAAGUCUGAUGUGAAAGCCUUCGGCUUAACCGGAGAAGUGCAUCGGAAACUGGAUAACUUGAGUGCAGAAGAGGGUAGUGGAACUCCAUGUGUAGCGGUGGAAUGCGUAGAUAUAUGGAAGAACACCAGUGGCGAAGGCGGCUACCUGGUCUGCAACUGACGCUGAGACUCGAAAGCAUGGGUAGCGAACAGGAUUAGAUACCCUGGUAGUCCAUGCCGUAAACGAUGAGUGCUAGGUGUUGGAGGGUUUCCGCCCUUCAGUGCCGGAGCUAACGCAUUAAGCACUCCGCCUGGGGAGUACGACCGCAAGGUUGAAACUCAAAGGAAUUGACGGGGGCCCGCACAAGCGGUGGAGCAUGUGGUUUAAUUCGAAGCUACGCGAAGAACCUUACCAGGUCUUGACAUCUUGCGCCAACCCUAGAGAUAGGGCGUUUCCUUCGGGAACGCAAUGACAGGUGGUGCAUGGUCGUCGUCAGCUCGUGU
rnacentral:rRNA from 1 species